rnacentral:rRNA from 1 species
AUUGAACGCUGGCGGCAGGCCUAACACAUGCAAGUCGAGCGGAUGAAGGGAGCUUGCUCCUGGAUUCAGCGGCGGACGGGUGAGUAAUGCCUAGGAAUCUGCCUGGUAGUGGGGGAUAACGUCCGGAAACGGGCGCUAAUACCGCAUACGUCCUGAGGGAGAAAGUGGGGGAUCUUCGGACCUCACGCUAUCAGAUGAGCCUAGGUCGGAUUAGCUAGUUGGUGGGGUAAAGGCCUACCAAGGCGACGAUCCGUAACUGGUCUGAGAGGAUGAUCAGUCACACUGGAACUGAGAAACGGUCCAGAAUCCUACGGGAGGCAGCAGUGGGGAAUAUUGGACAAUGGGCGAAAGCCUGAUCCAGCCAUGCCGCGUGUGUGAAGAAGGUCUUCGGAUUGUAAAGCACUUUAAGUUGGGAGGAAGGGCAGUAAGUUAAUACCUUGCUGUUUUGACGUUACCAACAGAAUAAGCACCGGCUAACUUCGUG